AUGAUCUACAGAGAUAUCAAGAGCUAUCAGCAUACACAAGGCUAGAAAUACACACAUACAAUCCAUGAAAUAUUCCCUUUUGCUCUCACCUUCUACUGCCAUCCUCUCACGGAGUUCCUGCUGCAGUCGACUCUGCCUGUCUUCCAGUUCUAGCUCCCGAGCACUAAAAGGAAAAAAGCAGAAAUCCAAGUUCCAGAUGUAAUAAAAUACUGCACACGUUGCUUCAUAUUCAUUUUCAGUUUCUGCUCGCUCUCUAGAUAUCUGCUGUGCAUUUUACCAAUCUUGUUUGGAACAACUCUUCAAUAACUUAAGAUAUAGAACUGUAUUUUUAAAAGAUUUAAUUGCACUUUUAACAUUUCAAGUUCUUUGUCUUCAGCUAGGAAGUGCAAUGCCAAAAGUGGAGCAAACUAAAUAUAGAGCAGAGUCAAAGAGUAAAUAAAUCUGCAAUGCCUCUAUGUAUCCCCUGCUACUUCCCACUCUAAAACCAAAGUUACUUAUUAACAAAUUACUUAUUACUUAAGGACAUUAUCAGGUCAUUGCAAACACCACCUUGGGACUUUUCUGCCACUAAGGCUAUCAGCUUCCACAUUGCUGAGGUGAGCUGACACAGUCAGAAAUUAAUUUCAGUGAAUUUGCACAGAAAUUCACUGAAACAGAAUUUGGGGGGAACAGGACCAGGGGGAAGCGAAAAACCCCCCAAUGUCAUUAACAGUAAAACACCUUUACCAUCUGAGCCCACAUGAGAGGCACUGGGGUCCCACUACAGGCAGAAAGGAGGACCACAUGGCAAAGGUGACUGAAUUCAAUGCUUUUGGCUAUGCUUAAAAGACAGCUUUACCACAACCAGAAGGAGUCCCAUGUUAUUUCUGCAUAGCUUGAAAACACUUGCACAAACAGGAUGUGUUUUAUACAGAACAGCAUGAGAAGGGCUCACAUACCUGUACCUCUGCAUGUGCACAAAUAAUUGGAACUUUCAUCUCUUACCCAUAUUAUUCUUUCUUCUACCACUCCUCUAAAAUGUACUUGGAGGGAUUGGAUUGGGAUUCCCAUCUCAGCCUAAGAAGCUGCUGACCUCCUGGCUUUACAGGGAAGUCAAUACUGACAGAUCUUCCACUGCUAUUUAUGACAAAAUCCCCAUUUUUAACACAUUCACUCACAAUAUCAUCAGUUCAGACUCGUAGCGAACCAAGGCAUUCUUCUCCUGCACCAGCUUGAACCACUCCUGCAUCAGCUUGGGGUCAUCCUUCUUACCCAUGCCUGCCAAGAAAGAAACCUGGUAAAUUUUCAGGUAACGCCCUGCAAUCCUUACAAGCCCAAACUGCAAAAACAACAAUGGGGCAAAAUGUGCAAAGAAAGCCGAGCAAGAUGCUGCCAGAGCACUCCCAAGCCGGGUCCGUUCAGUUUGCCUACAGCACUCAGCUGAGUGGAAGUCACCUCCAAAAGGAUUCUCUUCUCUUUGGAGCCUACUUCAUUUUUUUCAUUCUGAUAUUCUUGUGAUUACUUGUUUCUUCCUCACUCUUACUGCAGAAAGCCCCAGUGUCUAUGAGUAUUUAACUUUUCCUUUCAUUAGAAGGAUUUUAUAGAUUCUCAUGCCAGCUACUCAAACAUAUGCUAAUCAGAAAAGAUUCAAUUGCCACUCCAUGUGUUUUACCUUUGUUUUCUUCAAUUGCAUGUCCUCAAGUUUUUCUUUUACUAGCCUAAAGUAACAUCUUGUCUCUUCUUUUUUCAACAGUUAAGUAAAUCUUUUCUGCCUGCUCCUCCUAGCCACACAUAUCUAUUCAUCUUGAAGAUCCCCCUGCACAGUGAACACAGAAACUAAUUCUACUGUACUGCAUACCAGCACUAGAAAGAAAAGGAACCCCCAGACACAUUUGCUAAUAUGAAAGAAGAAUAAAGAAACCUUGGGCCUUGACCACCUAGUACAGAACUCUUUGCUGGUCCUUUUAUUUCAAAACAAACUCCUAAACUAAUUCAAUAGUCCACUGAUGAGUCUUGUGUCUGUCAGGUGUCAUGUGGAAUAAAUGCAGAAUGCUGUUCCCAAAGCCUUCUGUUGAUAUUUAGCAAACACAAGAACUUACCAAGGAGGCUCCUCCUGGCAAGCUCUUGGUCUGGGCCACUUAUUCCACACUGAACCACCUGCAUCUGAAUGCUGUCAUUUACAUCAGACCCCAUCAAGGCCACUGGCAACAUUCCUGCCUGUGUGGCACUAGAAGCAGGAGCAAGGCCUCAAAUUGAGCUCAACAGCACUUUUGGAUUGCUGCAUCCCAUCAGCUUGCACUGCACAUGACCUAGGCAUCCCAAGGUAACCAACAUCCCUGUCUCUGCUUGUUAUUGUGGAUAUGUACUCUCUACAUCAAGAACAAAAGCUCUCAAACAGUCCAUCUGAUGCUAAAUUGAUCAAGCAGCAAGCUUACUAUUCAAACUCUACGACACAGACACAGCACAAAUACCACAUUAAUGGCUACUUAUGUCAGACCCAUACCACGUUAAUGGCUACUUAAUUCAGACCCAUACCACAUUAAUGGCUACUUAAUUCAGACCCAUGCCCUGCCUCAUCCUCAGUAUGUCACAGAAGCACUGUCCUGCAGUUACACAAGGGAGAGCCUACAACUCCUAGUCAGCUGCAGCUUGGGCUGCCUUUCACCUGCCUUUGGAAUUGUGUCAUUCCAGCCCCUCAGGGAAUACCAGGCUGGAUUUACCACCCUAAGAGCCCCUGGCUCCAAGGACUUUAUAGCAGUGUGUUGCUCAGUUCCAAGCAUUCCUUUCUGAGCAUCUCUGCACAGUAUGCCCACGUGGCGACAGGAGAGGGAGACCGUACAUGCAGAUGUCCAGUGCUGUGGCGCCAUGAAAACACUGGGAAGUCUCCCCUUCCUUUCCAAUGCCAGGAUGUAUAGAAAACAAAUGCCUCUAAGAAAAAGCCAAAACCACAAUGCUACUGACCUAUGAAAUACAUAAGUAUUUUUAAACAGCCAAUGAGUAGAGGAAUAAUGGGAGGACUGGAAAGGGAGCACUGACAACUGAUGUGAGGGAGCACUAUGGAAAGCAGAUAAGUGGUUAGCAAAAUUACACCAUGAACACACAUAAAACAACCCCUUCCCCAUGCCUUGGCAAUGGAAACUCUACAGCAAACUCCAUUUGGGAUGGUUAAAGAAUGCACUCGGCAAGACAGAUGAGGGAGAACUAGUCUAACUUAAGGUCUGUUGGUUUUUAAAGUUCACGGAUGUUUUUCAAUCAGUCCUUAUAAAGACACAGUAUUCCUUUAAGCCCUAUAUGCUAAUUAAAAGGCUGUAUUUAAGGAAACAGAUUGUCAUCCCUUACCCCACCUUCCAAACAUCUUUCAGGAGUAAUAGAGUAAUUGAAGGCACCAAAUGAAAAUAGAAACUUUUCAGUGUGACACUUGUGGUCCCACAGCUGCUGCCCAUUGUCCCUCCCAGUCACUGCACCUUCUCUUGCCCAGCUGGGACUAGCAAAAGGGAUACUGUACCUUUAACAGCUUGCCACAGGCUCAGAGAAGCUGGUUACCAGGUAGCUACAGACAAGGCUGGUUCGGGGACACAGCAAGAAAAGGGCUGGGGGGCCUUGUGGUUGCUAGCUGACUAGUGCUGCUAUGACAACCCAGCUGUGGGCAGGGAGGACAGGGGUGUGUGAGGUUACGUUACCUUCAUGGGCACAGCAAGGGCAGAAGGAGAGAGGUCUACGACGUGGUGUCCCGCCAUUGGGCUCAACUUCAAUAGGACCAAACGAGGAAGAGGAAGAGGCAGGAGAGGAAGAGGAAGUUGGAAGUGGAAAGGAAGAGGAGGAAAGGGGUGAAAUAAAAGACAAGCAAAGGACAAAAAGCAUAAGAGUGAGAAAGAAAGGAAACACAAGAAGAAAAAGAAAAGAAAAAAUACAAGAAAUGGAGAAGCAGAAACAAGGGAUACAGUCUACAGAUGAAUAAUGUCCCUAGUAAGCACAGACAACAGGUAAGAGGUAGACUGAGGUACUGGUGAACUCUUAGUGAGCUGUACAAAUACCAGGCAGGAGGUUACUGUUGCUGCACUUUUCCUAAUGCACAUUUCCAGGUGCAAGGUCUUUAACCGAAAGCUUUGUGACUCAGAUGUCAGGACGAGUAGAGAUAUUUAGAGAUAUUUAACUUCUGCUGAUAAAUGUCAGAUUUCAAGCAGGGUUACAGUAAGUCUCACCUGCAUGCAGAAGACACCAGCUGUAAGCAGCCACCCUACCUUAAGCUCUAUCAGGACCAUGCUCUUAUCACCAUGGCAGCAUCCACUGAUGGUAAAAGUGUCCUUUGUAAUGGAAUAGAAUGUCUUCAGACAGGGAACAUCACAGGGAGAAUCUGAUUACCAUGGAACCAGCCUGCCAGUACCUGCUGUGUCAAAAAGCUCCACAAAAUUAGAGUACCAGUGGACUGGGAAGGCUUUAGAAGGGACCAUCACAGAACUAGACCAGCACAUGGAUGACACACUGGAGCAGGAGGGAGAGCACAUCAGCUGCAAAGCCCGUGACUGAGCAGCACAGCUUUCUCAGAAGAAGAAACCUCUGCACUGGAAGCAGGAAGGGGCAACAUCAGGAGAGGUGCCACAGCUGGCCAUAGGACAGUUACAAAUAAAGCACUCUACCAACAACAUUGAGAAAGUGCCAGAACAUUAAUUACAGCUGUUCUGAAUUUUACAGCUUCAUUUAAAAUAGAAAAAUACUAAGGCUUCUUUUCCUACAACUGCCAUUUCACAGAUCAGGUUACAAAAGCAAAAACAAACAAGAAAAACCCCAAACCACAAAGGUAUGGCGAAGAAUAUGCUUCCACACAAAGCAGAGCAUUUAGUGUAUGAUACUUGUUAAAUAUUUAUUUCCCAUCCUAUCUUAUUCAGAAGUAAUUCUUUAAGCUAAAAGCUUUAAUACUCUUAACUUGGUCUAACCACUGUUUUGAGGGUGGCCAGGGAGAUGGAGAUUUAACUGUAUGGAAAAAAUCCACUUCUUUCAGGGUUUGAGAUUUCAUUCAGAACCUGGGGCUGGGGGAAUCUGAUACAUUUCAAGCCAUGCACAUAGAGACUUGGUGAGGAACUUCCAGUUUUCCAUAUUUGAGCUGAAAAUAAAUACCCAGUAUGUGAAAAUGUCAUUCAUCUCAUUGUGAAAUGGCCACACGCUGCUAGCUUUUGUCAUUAGUAAGCAAGUGGUCUGAUACUGGGAGAGGAUCCCAUCUUUGGUCUCCAGUAAAAAGCCCCAGGGAUCACACAGCACCUGACUGAUACAGAGCUCACUCCCCACAACUGCACUUUCCUCCCCUGCUCUUAGUUAUCUUCCCACUCUUGUCCAAAGAAAAUUUGUCCUUGAAUCAAGUUACAAAGUCCAUGGUAUCUACACUAGUCCUACUACUAGAAAAGUCAACAUGUUUUUUCAGUAAGAUAAUAAACAUAACCUUUGCAAUUAAGAUCCUUUCCAGCUACUCCAGAUGUAAAUUACAGUUAAUUACAUUGGUGAAUAUAGGUUGUGAUCAUUGCAAUUACUUUAGAAACAAUUUCUGUCCCAAGCAGGAUGUUUAGCAAGGUUUUAGAAAGUCUUCCUUAUGUAUUGGAGGGUCCUUAACAGCAAGAACAAAGUGCAACCUGAAAACGUACUUCCCACAGUUUUCUAAAGCUUAUUUUAUGGCUUACUGCUCCAAAAGCCAUUACUAAUCCUACAGUAAAUAGUAUUAUUGUAAUUAUUAUUAUUAAUAUUAUUGCAUUGUUUAGAGAAGAGAAAUCACCACCUCCCAGUCUCAUUAAAUUAUAAAUAGGAUCAUCACUGCGAGACAUUUUUUCUGGAUGUGGAGCCAGGGCCAAAUAGGGAAAAACCCAUUUGUUGUGCAAAUUAAAAAAACCCCCAACAAACCUAACCUCCCUUUCUGUUUAAGUCUCCUUCACCAUCAAAAAUAUACUGACACAGGUAUUCACCCACAACAUGGAAAGAGUCCUGGCAGCAGCAACACCCACUGAAGCAGUUUCUUUGGAAGGAGCUGAAAGGCAAGAGAAAAAACAUUUCUGUGACCUUCCCUUCCUAGGUUCCUCUUGUGCUGCCAGCUGUGGCUGUAGCCUCUGGAUAGAAAAUUACCUUUAUUUUCACCAGAGGGGUAAAGCUGCCAAGAGACUGUGUUAGUCACUAGUUGCUGCCUUUCAGUGCCACGAGCCUACUCUUGUUUUGUGUAAAGCCUUGUAAAGCAGUCCAAGCUGCAGGCAAGCCAGAGCACGGUUUGGAGGCAGGAGCUGCAGCUUAUUAAGGAAAGGAGUUCUGAACAUUCUCAAGAUGCAGAAGCUCUGCCUUGCACACCAGACACAUCUCAUUAAUGAAGUGACUGGAAUUACUUUGCUUCUGUAAAAAAGCCACAAGAAUGACCUUGUUUGUCACAGUACUCUUGAGAGAUUGCAGACUUUGCUACAGUGGUGGAAACCAAGAGCCAGGUGAAGAAUAAAUACCAUAGCUUCAGAAUCUCUUCAGAACAAGGACCAGAAAUUGUACAGCCACUAUGUUCAUUUUCACUGCACAUUGCUCUUUGUUACAGAAGCUACAUUGGACUGUUGCAUUCUUUUCUAAUCUUUAUUUACCUGUUGAUUAAAAAGCAAAUCUUCA